GGAGGAAGAGGAGGCCACCGUGUUGUCGUACACCACCGAGAGGGACACCUCCGCGUUCAGCGGCCUGUUGUGCUUCCGGAAGGAGCUCCUGAUGCCGCUGGAGAGCCUGGUGGACGCCUUCUUCACGGCGCGGCUGAUCCGCCGGUUCCUCUGCUUCGCUAGGCCCACGUCGUCCUGCAGCUCCUCCGGCGGGACGUCGAUGUUCCCAGAGUACCAGAACACCCACCAGAUCAGGCUGAGGAAGAUGAUGAUGGCCCCCACGUAGAUGAAGAGGUCGUGGAUGACCAGGCCUCCGAAGACCCCCACCAUCAUGAUGAGGACGCCCAGUAUGUCGUGGGCCACCGCGAACCAGAAGGAGCACUUGCAGCGGCCCACGCCUGCGUGCCUCUUCUCCGAGACCGGCUCCAUGUGGACAGAUGUGGACAUGAUCCCGUGGAAGGAGGACGCUCCUGCAGCGGCGGUCGCCGAAUGACCUCCUGCAGCUCAAAGUCCCCACGGCACUGGAGGUUACGUCAUCGCCGGCUCACGCCUCCUGGAUGAAGCGUUUCCGCCGCUGCUUCUCCCUCAGCACGGGGAUCCAGACCAGCCCCACCGCCACGAACAUGAGCCCCACCGACAGGCAGGCCGAGCCCACUGACCGGGGCGCGUCCACCGAGCCGUGGAGGAGGAGCAGGAGCGCUCCUGCAGCACCCAUCACGGAGCCCAUCACCACGGCAGUGAUGGGCUUAUGCAGGAGGCAGCUGAGCAAACUGGAGUCCAAACCCGCAAACACAAAGACCUGCAGACCUGUCAUCUGAUCCGGCUGACAGAAGAUCGACCAGCUCGCCGUUUCCACGCCCCACACGCCAAACAUCUCGCAUCUGAGAGCCCCAAUAGAUUCACAGAACCACUCAUUGAUUGAUCUGCCUUGUUCUUUAUCAGCAGAAGAUAAUUAAAAGAACAGGAAAAAAAAA